rnacentral:rRNA from 1 species
GAUGAACGCUGGCUACAGGCUUAACACAUGCAAGUCGAGGGGAAACGACGGGGAAGCUUGCUUCCCCGGGCGUCGACUGGCGCACGGGUGAGUAACGCGUAUCCAACCUGCCUCUGACUGAGGGAUAACCCGUCGAAAGUCGGCCUAAUACCUCAUGGUAUCGUCUGCGGGCAUCCAACGACGAUUAAAGAUUUCAUCGGUCAGGGAUGGGGAUGCGUCUGAUUAGCUUGUGGGCGGGUUAACGGCCCACCAAGGCUACGAUCAGUAGGGGUUCUGAGAGGAAGGACAACCACAAUGGAAAUGGGAACCGGUCCAAACUGCUAGGGGAGGCAGCAGUGAGGAAUAUAGGGGAAUGGGGGAGAGCCUGAACCAGCCAAGUAGCGUGCAGGAAGACGGCCGUAUGGGUUGUAAACUGCUUUUAUGCGGGGAUAAAGUGAGGGACGUGUCCCUCAUUGCAGGUACCGCAUGAAUAAGGACCGGCUAAUUCCGUG